rnacentral:rRNA from 1 species
AUACAACUUUCAACAACGGAUCUCUUGGCUCUCGCAUCGAUGAAGAACGCAGCGAAAUGCGAUAAGUAAUGUGAAUUGCAGAAUUCAGUGAAUCAUCGAAUCUUUGAACGCACCUUGCGCUCCUUGGUAUUCUGAGGAGCAUGCCUGUUUGAGUGUCAU